rnacentral:lncRNA from 1 species
UUCUUUUCACCACCUCCUUUCUUUCCUCCAUUACCAUGCUUCCCAUCUUUGUUUUCUCCCGUGCCUUUCAUUACUAUAGGUAUAUCAAAAGCAUCUCCUUUUUUACCAUUGCCCCCACCCUUUUUACCAUUAAUGGGAGGACAAUUAACCAUGCCAUUGGGCCCAUAUGAUCCAUGGCCUUUUCCCAUCAUAGGUACCAUCUUGUUUUGCAUUUGGUGCCCAUGGCCAUGGCCAUGUCCAUGUCCAUAUCCA